rnacentral:tRNA from 1 species
GGGGGGAUAGCCAAGUGGUCAAAGGCAGCAGACUGUAAAUCUGCCGGCGGAUGCCUUCGCAGGUUCAAAUCCUGCUCCCCCCACCA